rnacentral:lncRNA from 1 species
UAUGUCAUCGAUGGGACCACAGCACCCACUAGGAAUUCUUUAUCGCAUUAGGAUUUUCAUUUCCUUUCCAUAGAGUGAAGGGAUCUGAAAAAUUAGUAGGAGUCAUUGUUUGCAUCUUAAAGUCCCUAGAAGCAAAUUAAAUAUUAAGUACAAAAGUCUAACUUGAAUCUCUACUCUUGCAGUUAAACCAUAAUGUCAGCCUUAAAUCCUCUAGCCCGCAUCCUUGAAACCAAUCAUUUGAUCGAUACUAAUUAUAAAGACUGGCUUAGAAACCUCAAGAUUGUCUUAACCUUAGAAAAAUUAAGCCAUGUUCUUGACCA